UUGGAGGGCAAGUCUGGUGCCAGCAGCCGCGGUAAUUCCAGCUCCAAUAGCGUAUAUUAAAGUUGUUGCAGUUAAAAAGCUCGUAGUUGAAUUUCGGGAUCAAUGUUUCGGUCAUGCCGUUGGUAUGUACUGAUAUUAUUGGUUUCUCACCUUCUAAAGAACCGUAAUGCCAUUAAUUUGGUGUCACGGGGAAUUAGGACUGUUACCUUGAAAAAAUUAGAGUGUUUAAAGCAGGCUCACGCUUGAAUACAUUAGCAUGGAAUAAUGAAAUAGGACAUCCGAUUCUAUUUUGUUGGUUUCUAGGAUCGAUGUAAUGAUUAAUAGGGAUAGUUGGGGGCAUUAGUAUUCAAUUGUCAGAGGUGAAAUUCUUGGAUUUAUUGAAGACUAACUACUGCGAAAGCAUUUGCCAAGGAUGUUUUCAUUAAUCAAGAACGAAAGUUAGGGGAUCGAAGACGAUCAGAUACCGUCGUAGUCUUAACCAUAAACUAUGCCGACUAGGGAUCGGGUGAUGUUAAUUUUUUAAUGACUCAUUCGGCGCCUUACAGGAAACCAAAGUGUUUGGGUUC
rnacentral:rRNA from 1 species